UACAGAGGGUGCAAGCGUUGCUCGGAAUUAUUGGGCGUAAAGGGCUCGUAGGCGGCCAACUAAGUCAGACGUGAAAUCCCUCGGCUUAACCGGGGAACUGCGUCUGAUACUGGAUGGCUAGAGGUUGGGAGAGGGAUGCGGAAUUCCAGGUGUAGCGGUGAAAUGCGUAGAUAUCUGGAGGAACACCGGUGGCGAAGGCGGCAGCCUGGACCAAUUCUGACACUCAGGUGCGACAGCGUGGGGAGCAAACAGG
rnacentral:rRNA from 1 species